GAUGAAGAACGUAGCGAAAUGCGAUAAGUAAUGCGAAUUGCAGAAUUCCAGUGAGUCAUCGAAUCUUUGAACGCACAUUGCGCCCUUUGGUAUUCCGAAGGGCAUGCCUGUUCGAGCGUCAUUAUCACCCCUCAAGCCCUCGGCUUGGUGUUGGACGGUUUGGUGGAGGCCCCCUCGGGGGCUCCUGCCCCUCCCAAAGACAAUGACGGCGGCCUCGUUGGACCCCCGGUACACUGAGUUCUUCACGGGACACGUAUCGGACACAUGGGUUUACGGGACACGGUCUGCCUCCCCUCAGGGAGAAUCUUUCUAAGGUUGACCUCGGAUCAGGUAGGGAUACCCGCUGAACUUAAGCAUAUCAAGCGGAGGA
rnacentral:misc_RNA from 1 species